UCCCACUGUCCCUAUCUACUAUCCAGCGAACCCACAGCCAAGGGAGCGGGCUUGGAAUAAUCAGCGGGGAAAGAAGCCCUGUUGAGCUUGACUCUAGUCUGACGUUGUGAAAUAUCUUAUGAGGUGUAGUAUACGUGGGAGCUUCGGCGAACUUGAAAUACCACGACUCGUAAUGUUGUUUUACUUAUUCCAUUGUGCAGAGACCGCACGCUUUCGGGCGCUGCGAUUCUGGAUUUAAACCUUUUUCGGUGAUCUGAUUGGGAGACACCGUCAGGUGGGGAGUUUGGCUGGG
rnacentral:rRNA from 1 species